rnacentral:rRNA from 1 species
AUUGAACGCUGGCGGCAGGCCUAACACAUGCAAGUCGCACGAGUGGCGGACGGGUGAGUAAUGUCUGGGAAACUGCCUGAUGGAGGGGGAUAACUACUGGAAACGGUAGCUAAUACCGCAUACCAUCAGAUGUGCCCAGAUGGGAUUAGUUAGUUGGUGGGGUAACGGCUCACAAAGGCUACGAUCCCUAGCUGGUCUGAGAGGAUGACAAGCCACACUGGAACGGAGACACGUGCCAGACUCCUACGGGAGGCAGCAGUGGGGAAUAUUGCACAAUGGGCGCAAGCCUGAUGCAGCCAUGCCGCUUGUAUGAAGAAGGCCUUCGUGUUGUAAAGUACUUUCAGCGGGGAGGCGUUACCCGCAGAAGAAGCACCGGCUAACUCCGUGCCAGCCGCCGCGGUAAUAC